GACGAACGCUGGCGGCGUGCCUAAUACAUGCAAGUAGAACGCUGAAGGAGGAGCUUGCUCUUCUGGAUGAGUUGCGAACGGGUGAGUAACGCGUAGGUAACCUGCCUGGUAGCGGGGGAUAACUAUUGGAAACGAUAGCUAAUACCGCAUAACAGUAGAUGUUGCAUGACAUUUACUUAAAAGGUGCAAUUGCAUCACUACCAGAUGGACCUGCGUUGUAUUAGCUAGUUGGUGGGGUAACGGCUCACCAAGGCGACGAUACAUAGCCGACCUGAGAGGGUGAUCGGCCACACUGGGACUGAGACACGGCCCAGACUCCUACGGGAGGCAGCAGUAGGGAAUCUUCGGCAAUGGACGGAAGUCUGACCGAGCAACGCCGCGUGAGUGAAGAAGGUUUUCGGAUCGUAAAGCUCUGUUGUAAGAGAAGAACGAGCGUGAGAGUGGAAAGUUCACACUGUGACGGUAUCUUACCAGAAAGAGACGGCUAACUACGUG
rnacentral:rRNA from 1 species